rnacentral:rRNA from 1 species
AGCCAUGCAUGUCUGAGUACGUGCCUCCGAAACAGAAGGCGAAACCGCGAAUGGCUCAUUAAAUCAGUUAUGGUUCCUUGGAGCCUACAAAAAUUACUUGGAUAACCGUGGCAAUUCUAGAGCUAAUACAUGCAGCAGAGCUCUCCGGGAUCCCGAAGCCUCCUCGGCGGAGGGGUCGGAGAGCGCUUUUAUUAGACCAAGACCAGCGCGGGGGCCGGCAACGGUUCCCGGGCGAACUCUGGUGACUCUGUAUAACUUUUUGCCGAUCGCACGGGCUCGCCCCGGCGACGUAUCUUUCAAGUGUCUGCCUUAUCAACUGUCGAUGGUAGGCCACGUGCCUACCAUGGUCGUAACGGGUGACGGGGAAUCAGGGUUCGAUUCCGGAGAGGGAGCCUGAGAAACGGCUACCACAUCCAAGGAAGGCAGCAGGCGCGCAAAUUACCCACUCCCGGCACGGGGAGGUAGUGACGAAAAAUAACGAUACGGGACUCUUUCGAGACCCCGUAAUCGGAAUGAGUUCUCUCCAAAUCCUUGCACGAGGAUCCAUCGGAGGGAAAGUCUGGUGCCAGCCGCCGCGGUAACUCCAGCUCCGAUAGCGUAUAUUAAAGUUGUUGCGGUUAAAAAGCUCGUAGUUGGAUCUCAGUUCCGGACGGGCGGCCCCGCCCUCAGCGGCGGCAGUCGACCCGCGUCCGAACAGCCUGCCCGUUUCCCCCGGUGAUCUUGACCGGUUGUCGAGGGCGACGGGCCAGUUUACUUUGAAAAAAUUAGAGUGCUCAAAGCAGGCCGAGAAUCGGCCGGAAUAGAAGGUGCAUGGAAUAAUGGAACAGGACCUCGUUCCCGUUCUGCUGGUCUUCUGGAUCACGAGGUAAUGAUUAAGCGGAACAGACGGGGGCAUUCGUACUGCGACGCUAGAGGUGAAAUUCUUGGACCGUCGCAGGACGAACCACUGCGAAAGCAUUUGCCAAGAAUGCUUCCGUUAAUCAAGAACGAAAGUCAGAGGAUCGAAGGCGAUCAGAUACCGCCCUAGUUCUGACCGUAAACGAUGCCAGCCAGCGAUCCGGCUGCGUUCCUCAAACGACGCGCCGGGCAGCUUCCGGGAAACCAAAGCUUUUGGGUUCCGGGGGAAGUAUGGUUGCAAAGCUGAAACUUAAAGGAAUUGACGGAAGCGCACUACCAGGAAUGGAGCCUGCGGCUUAAUUUGACUCAACACGGGGAAACUCACCCGGCCCGGACACAGGAAGGAUUGACAGAUUGAGAGCUCUUUCUUGAUUCUGUGGGUGGUGGUGC